rnacentral:rRNA from 1 species
GUGAACUGGGGGGCAGGUGGCGGGGUAAUGAGGGGGGUGGAGCGGUGAAUUGGAUGUACGGGGCGGAAAGCGGGCGUGGGGGGCUCGCGAAGUCGAUGGUGAAAGCCCGGGGCUCAACCUGGGAAUUGCAGUCGAUACUUGCGAGCGAGAGUUCGGUAGAGGGUGACCGAAUUCCCGGUGUAGCGGUGAAAUGCGUAGAUAUCGGGAGGAACAUCGAUGGCGAAGGCAAUCACCUGGGCCUGAACUGACACUGAGACACGAAAGCGUGGGUAGCAAACAGGAUUAGAUACCCGUGUAGUC